GUUAGCCCAUUUUGUAAAUAAUAUACAUAUAUAUGUAUUAAAAAAAAAACCCUUGAGGUAGGUGAACCAAAAACUUAAUGGUACUUAUGUUUGGAAAGUAUGAUCAGGGAUAAUUUUAACUUUCUUUUAGUGGUAUUUUUCAAACCUUCAAACCUAUAAAUAAACUUCUCUUACACUUUAUUUGAUCAAUUUUAAAAAGUGAGGCUAGUCACGUUCAUUUCAAUCCAAUACUCCUAAAUUUCAUCAUUGGCCCAGUGUCAUGUGGCAUUAACUUCAAAGUUUAGGGUCACUGUUGAAUAAUUCCUUCUACAUAAACAUAUAUUCAUUUAGCUUAUUAAAUAUUUUGUCUAUAAAAUUAUCUACAUUUCUGUUGGCCAUUCUAUCUGCCUCAUAUAUAUACUUUGUGCGCCAGCAGAACAGAAUUAUUUUUCCCCUAAUUUCUCUUCCUUCCUUGUCUCUUUGGGGCUUUGCUGAGGCUCACUUAUCUUUCAGAUCUUAGCAUAAAUGUUGCUUAUCCAUGGAAACCUUUUCUGACUUCCUAGACUCCUUGCCCUCUCUAGCACUCAUCAACACUAUAAUUAAAUAUUAAAUAAUUGUUUAUAUAAUAAAUAACUAUUUAUAUUAGUUUAUUUCUCCAUCUAGAUUGUAAAAUACCUAAUGUCAGAGGCCCAGUUAAUUUUAUUUCCUACUGCAUUCCUUGGUCAAUAGUACAGUGCCUCAAAGAAAUCUUCUGAGUAAAUGGAUCAGUGGUAGAAAGAUGGCUGGCUGGAUAGAAGAAUGAAUGAAAUCUCCUCUGACUUGUGAACUUAGCCAACUACUCUCAAUCGUGAGUGCUCCCUCCUCUGUCUUCACAGGUAGACUGGGAUGCCCCCCUUUAUUUAGACUUGCAUUGCAUCUUUAUUCACUUGUUCAAUAAUUAUUUCUUGAACACCUAUUUUAUAGAGCCUAAUAUUUACAAAAUGUUAUUUAUUCAUGUAACAAUAUUAGCACAUUAUUUGUGGUCUCUUUUGUGCAAAAUCUUUAAAAUCUAAUGAAUGUUUUAAAUUUAUAGCACAUUUCAAUUCAGGGAAACUGCAUUUCAAGGACUCAAUAGCCACAUUAUUAGUCACCACUAUAUUGGACAGUACAAAUAUAGAGGAGACAGCAGAGGAAAACAGCCUACCUAGGGAUAAAUUUGGAAAGUUGAGAAAGUGAAAAUGAUCUAGAGUUGGCUGACAGAAGGGAAGAGUGGUAGGAAUGGACUUGGAAAGAGAGGGACAGGGACAACUUUUUGUAUCUUUCUUGUAACACACUUCCCAAAUUAUUGUAAACUCCUUCUUGAGUUUAUCUCUUUAUCCCAAUAGUUUAGAAGAUAAAGUAGGUAACACAUAUUUCAUGAAUAAAUUGAUAAAAUAAAUGAACAAAUGUAGAGGAAAGAGCUUGUUCAGUAAAAACGA
rnacentral:lncRNA from 1 species